GCCUGGGUGGCUCAGUCAGUUAAGCGUCUGACUUUAGUUCAGGUCAUGAUCUCACAGUUUGUGAGUUCAAGCCCCGCAUCAGGCU
rnacentral:tRNA from 1 species